UGGCCUUCUCCAAGCAUUUUUAUCAAUUCAAAAAUUCUUGAAUAUCUUGAAAUAACAAGGUAUCUAUAACAAAAAAUGUAUUGAUUCUUCCAAACAUAUAUUGAUUCUUUCAAAUAUGAUACACAAUUAAAUAAAUUCUAUACACAAUUAAAUUAACAUCGUACAUAGUUAAUUUAACACUGUACACAGUUAAAUGAACUCUGCACACAGUUAAAUUAAUAUUG
rnacentral:lncRNA from 1 species